AUUGAACGCUGGCGGAAUGCUUUACACAUGCAAGUCGAACGGUAGAGGGGGCAACCCCUCGAGAGUGGCGAACGGGUGAGUAAUAUAUCGGAACGUGCCCAGUCGUGGGGGAUAACGUAGCGAAAGUUACGCUAAUACCGCAUACGAUCUAAGGAUGAACGCGGGGGAUCGCAAGACCUCGCGCGAUUGGAGCGGCCGAUAUCAGAUUAGGUAGUUGGUGGGGUAAAGGCUCACCAAGCCAACGAUCUGUAGCUGGUCUGAGAGGACGACCAGCCACACUGGAACUGAGACACGGUCCAGACUCCUACGGGAGGCAGCAGUGGGGAAUUUUGGACAAUGGACGCAAGUCUGAUCCAGCCAUUCCGCGUGCAGGAUGAAGGCCCUCGGGUUGUAAACUGCUUUUGUACGGAACGAAAAGGUCUCUAUGAAUACGGGGGACUCAUGACGGUACCGUAAGAAUAAGCACCGGCUAACUACGUGCCAGCCGCCGCGGUAACAC
rnacentral:rRNA from 1 species